rnacentral:rRNA from 1 species
GUAACACGUGGGCAAUCUGCCCUGCACUCUGGGACAAGCCCUGGAAACGGGGUCUAAUACCGGAUACUGACCCGCUUGGGCAUCCAAGCGGUUCGAAAGCUCCGGCGGUGCAGGAUGAGCCCGCGGCCUAUCAGCUUGUUGGUGAGGUAAUGGCUCACCAAGGCGACGACGGGUAGCCGGCCUGAGAGGGCGACCGGCCACACUGGGACUGAGACACGGCCCAGACUCCUACGGGAGGCAGCAGUGGGGAAUAUUGCACAAUGGGCGAAAGCCUGAUGCAGCGACGCCGCGUGAGGGAUGACGGCCUUCGGGUUGUAAACCUCUUUCAGCAGGGAAGAAGCGAAAGUGACGGUACCUGCAGAAGAAGCGCCGGCUAACUACGUGCCAGCAGCCGCGGUAAUACGUAGGGCGCGAGCGUUGUCCGGAAUUAUUGGGCGUAAAGAGCUCGUAGGCGGCUUGUCACGUCGGUUGUGAAAGCCCGGGGCUUAACCCCGGGUCUGCAGUCGAUACGGGCAGGCUAG